rnacentral:rRNA from 1 species
CUUGGUCAUUUAGAGGAAGUAAAAGUCGUAACAAGGUCUCCGUUGGUGAACCAGCG